GCGGGCGUGGCGAAACUGGUAGACGCAAGGGACUUAAAAUCCCUCGGCCUUGGCUGUGCGGGUUCGACCCCCGCCGCCCGCACCA
rnacentral:tRNA from 4 species